rnacentral:rRNA from 1 species
CCUACGGGAGGCAGCAGUGAGGAAUAUUGGUCAAUGGACGAGAGUCUGAACCAGCCAAGUAGCGUGAAGGAUGACUGCCCUAUGGGUUGUAAACUUCUUUUAUAUGGGAAUAAAAUGUUUCACGUGUGGGAUUUUGUAUGUACCAUAUGAAUAAGGAUCGGCUAACUCCGUGCCAGCAGCCGCGGUAAUACGGAGGAUCCGAGCGUUAUCCGGAUUUAGUGGGUUUAAAGGGAGCGUAGGUGGUUUUUUAAGUCAGUUGUGAAAGUUUGCGGCUCAACCGUAAAAUUGCAGUUGAAACUGGCAGUCUUGAGUACAGUAGAGGUGAGCGGAAUUCGUGGUGUAGCGGUGAAAUGCUUAGAUAUAACGAAGAACUCCGAUUGCGAAGGCAGCUCACUGGACUGCAACUGACACUGAGGCUCGAAAGUGUGGGUAUCAAACAGGAUUAGAUACCCCUGUAGUC